rnacentral:rRNA from 1 species
CGCGUAGGCGGUCUUGUAAGUCCCGUGUGAAAUCCCUCGGCUCAACUGGGGAACUGCACGGGAAACUGCUCGGCUUGAGUUCGGGAGAGGGAAGCGGAAUUCCGGGUGUAGCGGUGAAAUGCGCAGAUAUCCGGAGGAACACCGGUGGCGAAGGCGGCUUCCUGGACCGAAACUGACGCUGAGGCGCGAAAGCUAGGGGAGCAAACG